rnacentral:rRNA from 1 species
AUGCGCCGCCGCCGCCCCGCCGCCGCCGCCUCCUUCGCCCCGCCGGCACUCCUGCUGCUGGCCCUCUCCGCACCGUACUGGCUCUCCCCGAACCCCGCCGCAGACGCCGUCGGAGGAUGCCCGCUAGAUUUCAGCUGGGCCAACUUCACCACGGCGGCGGCGGCGUGCUCCGACGGGGCGCAGCGGGCGGCGUGCUGCCGCUACAUCAACGCCUUCGUGGCCACCUCCAUCGCGCGCUACGCCAACGCGACCGGCCGCCUGGGGGUGCCGCCGGCCUUCUCCGAGAUGUGCCUCAGCGCGGUGUCCGACACCUUCAGGCUGCGGGGCAUCGCCACCGACGCCGCCGUCUUCUGCGGCCUCGGCCCCAAGAUCAGGGUCGACUACCAGUGCGCCGGCCGCAACACCGUGCUGGAGAUGAUGCAGUCCCCCAGCUUCAACGACGUCAUCGGCAGCUGCAGGGGGCCCCUCUCCCUGGACAUCACCUGCAAGACCUGCCUCAACUACGGCAUCGUGUACCUCCGCCGGCUCAUCGGCUCCGACGACAACGUCGCGCUCAGCGUGUGCCGCAGCGCGGUCUUCGUCACGCUCGCGACGCAGCACGGCGUGCUCUCCUACGACGACAUCCUCACCUGCUUCUUCGGUGUUCAGGGGAUCACCACCUUUCCAGGAACGGUGUCUGUCACGUCGACUCCGGCUUCUACUCCGAAUGUCACCGUACCCAGUGAUUCUUCAGCUCCAAAGACCAAAAGUGUUCCACUGCCACAGAAGCACCAGAAGCCUUACCACAUUUCGGUGGUUCCGGGGAUAGGGAUAGGGGUCAUAUUGCUUGCCAUUCUUCUUCAGAUCGUCUUGGUGGUGCUCAUUCGUCGAAAGAACAAGGAGCUGAGGGAUGCUGAGCUGUCUGCUCAGAGUCCAGACAAUGCAUUUCACCAGGGUCAGUCCUGGAGAUGCGCAGAAGGUCAGUCACCAAUGUUUCAGAGGUAUAGCUACAAAGAAACAACGAAAGCAACAAACAAUUUCAGCACGGUUAUUGGAAAGGGAGGCUUUGGAACAGUCUAUAAGGCUCAGUUUAGUGAUGGCUCUAUAGCUGCGGUCAAAAGGAUGGACAAGGUUUCAAGACAAGCUGAAGAAGAGUUCUGCCGGGAAAUGGAGCUCCUGGCUAGGUUGCAUCAUCGCCAUCUUGUGAACCUAAAGGGCUUCUGUGUUGAAAGAAAAGAAAGGUUUCUUGUCUACGAGUACAUGGAAAAUGGAAGCCUAAAGGAUCACCUGCACUCUUCUGGAACAAAGGCAUUAAGCUGGCAGACAAGGCUACAGAUCGCAAUGGACGUAGCCAAUGCUCUGGAGUACCUCCAUUUCUUCUGUAACCCUCCACUCUGCCACAGAGACAUCAAGUCGAGCAACAUUCUUUUGGACGAAAACUUUGUUGCCAAGGUUGCUGAUUUCGGCCUUGCGCACGCAUCGAGAACUGGUGCUAUCAGCUUUGAAGCUGUCAACACAGAUAUACGCGGAACUCCAGGGUACAUGGACCCAGAGUACGUGGUGACCCAGGAGCUGACGGAGAAGAGCGACAUCUACAGCUACGGCGUGGUGCUGCUGGAGUUGGUCACCGGGCGGCGGGCGAUCCAGGACAAGAAGAACCUGGUGGAGUGGGCGCAGGAGUACAUGUCGCCGUCCGGGGAGAUCCCGCCGGAGCUGGUGGACCCGACGAUCCGCGACUCGGUGGACAUGGACCAGCUGCACCUGGCGGUCGGCAUCGUCCAGUGGUGCACGCAGCGGGAGGGGCGCCAGCGGCCGUCCAUCAGGCAGGUGCUGCGCAUGUUCUCCGAGCGGCUGGACCCCGGCAACGGCAGCUUCGGCGAGGGCAUGGACGACGCCGACGGCGGCUUCUACCCGGGCCGGAGCAGCAGGGGCGGCGCCGCCGGCGUCCACCGCAACGAGCUGGUCCCCUGCGGCGGCGACAUGCGGUCCCUCCACUCGUCCUCGAGCACGACGAGGUCCUACUGCAGCCGCAGCAUGCUGCUGGAAGGCGGCCAGGCUCACUCUCCCCCUGAAACCCUCUGA